GAUAGAAGAAGGCAUUCCAACUAGCAUAAUCCAUCUCCUUAUCAUGAUCGAUGUCGAAAUGGGCAAGGCACUAAUUAGAUGGGGAUUGCACGAACUCAACUCUCUUAAAAGUCUUUGGAUAGGUGGAUUUGAAGAUUCUAGGUUGAUUCUAUUGGAGGACCAACGAAUGCCCCUUUCUCUUGAAGAUUUGAUCAUUUCUAAUUUGGCACUAUUGAAAUCUAUUUCAGAGUUGGGCACAUUCACCUCUCUUGAGAGAUUGAUAAUUCUGAAUUCAAAUCUCAACUCAAUUCUAGACUUAGGAAGCCUGGUAUCACUUAAAAGCUUCAGUAUUGAGAAAUGCCCAAAGAUCAAAUCAAUUCCAGGUUUUGGAAGCCACCACACCUUUGAGGAAUUGCAUAUUUCAGAAUGCCCAGAGCUCGAAUCAGUUGCAUGCCUGAGAAAUCUUACUUCUCUUCAAACUUUUAGGAUUUUUGAUUGCCCAAAGCUCAAAUCCCUCACAAGCCCGCCACUCUCACUUUUGCAAUUAAAAAUUGACAGAUGUCCAUUGAUAAAAAAACAUUGGAGGAGAAGUAAAGGGAAGUAUUGCUCAAAGAUUGCUCACAUCCCUAAAGUUCAAAUCGAUGAAAAAUUCGUCUUCAAUUCAAAGGAGGAAGAACCGAUUUGAAUUAAUUGCAUUCAAAGCAUGGAGUCAGAUAAUCAUCUCUGUUUCAUUCAAGAUGAUCAUCAAGGAGACAACAACAGUGGCACUCUGUUAUGUUAUCAUAACUUUGUAAGAAAGAUUUAGAAUUGUUACAUAUCCACCAUUGAGAUGAAGAAACAAUUGGAGGCAGAAAUUCGAACUAUUUUGUAUCUCAUUCAAAUCCAGCAGGAAGCAAGUGAAGCAUUGAUUGAAUUCAAAGUUGGAGUAGUCUAUUAGGAUACAAGAAUACUUAAAACAUGAAGCUUAAACAUCUCUCAUGUUUUUGCCUCAAGGACAUUUCAGCAUUUUUUGGUGCAUAAAAACGUAAUUGAAGAAAGUUCUCAAUUCAAAUUCCAAUGUAUGCAAUUAUUGAAACAUAUAUUCGCUUAAGUUCCUUCAUAAUCUUCAUGAUAGCAAAUCAUUUCAGUUUCAAUUCAAAUUCCAAUGAACUGAGUAUCACCUUUGUUGAAAGACAGGAAAAACGUCUUGCAGUCCUUGUUACCAGUAAAGAAUUAAGGCAGCAUUUUUAACAUGAAAAAAAGCAAGUGAUGUUGCUUGUGAUAAGUUACUAUAUACAACCCUAUGACUGUUUCAGCUUGGAUAAGCAAUUCUUGAAUGAGUUAUGAAAUCUCUGUAACAUGACAAGCUCACAUCUUUUUUGUAGAAUCAGAGAGUGCAAAAAUCUCCAAUAUCACAUCUCUUGAACUUCUGGAGAUGAAGAGCUAUUCUGUUCUUGAACCUUUUUCAGACAGGGCUUGCUGGAUAUGUAAAUCUUAUUGUCACACCAUUGCACCAAGAACAUAUUGUGAUGAUAACAGUAAAAAUUGUGGCGACAAAGCAGCAACUGUAGGCUGUAAGAAUUUGGCAAGCUAUGAACUUUUGUUGUUCACAUCUUGUUUUGAUGUGCACACAUAUAUUAUGCAGUAUGUGUGGACAUGAUUGCGUUUUGUGUGAACAUAUGGAUGUUGAUUUUCCAUUUAAGUGCAACUUUCAACUUAUUCAAAGUUGUUAUUUGUUGUUUAGGUGGUCAUAUACAGGCGUUCACCUGAGUUCUUUUUGACUUAAAUGUACAACUUUUC